rnacentral:misc_RNA from 1 species
AGACUGAAUAUUUUGCAACAGUUUGACGAUAUAUUCUUCAUAAUUAACGUGGGCCAUGUGUAACACAAUUUUUGUGCUGUUUUUACUGGUGGCAUUGUCUUCGGCCUUCAGGCUACCAAUGGAAGGUCUGAACCCGGAAGUAGAGCAAUCGCCUAGUAAGCGAGGUUAUUACUUGUGUGCCGAGCUGUCUGAGUACGACUGUGCGCGCCACCUGAUGGGUGGGUGGAUCAGGCUGAUGGCUCGACAGAGAUCAGCAUACUGAACCCAACUAUAUCAUCUUAUCAUAUCUGGAUUUGUUAUAAUCAGUUGGCUUUAUUACAAGAUAAAAAUAAAUGCUUGAAUGUAUGGAAAUGUGCAAUAAUGCAUGCAACAAACAAUGGUUUCAAAUGUAACACAUAUAUCUUGAUGGUAACUUUAUACAUCAAUUUGAAAAUAAAAGUUUUACCCGAU